GAUGAACGCUGGCGGCGUGCUUAACACAUGCAGGUCGAACGAGAAGUGGAGACGGAAACCUUCGGGCGGAAGACUUUAUUUCGAGUGGCGGACGGGUGAGUAACGCGUGGGUACCCUGCCUCAUACAGGGGGAUAACAGUUGGAAACGACUGUUAAUACCGCAUAAGACCACAGCACCGCAUGGUGCGGGGGUAAAAACUCCGGUGGUAUGAGAUGGACCCGCGUUCGAUUAGCCAGUUGGCGGGGUAACGGCCCACCAAAGCGACGAUCGAUAGCCGAUCUGAGAGGAUGACCGGCCACAUUGGGACUGAGACACGGCCCAAACUCCUACGGGAGGCAGCAGUGGGGAAUAUUGCACAAUGGGGGAAACCCUGAUGCAGCGACGCCGCGUGAGUGAAGAAGUAUUUCGGUAUGUAAAGCUCUAUCAGCAGGGAAGAAAAUGACGGUACCUGAGGAAGAAGCCCCGGCUAACUACGUG
rnacentral:rRNA from 1 species